AGGAAAAAGUAAAAAAAAA
rnacentral:sRNA from 1 species